UCCAGCACCCUCAGGGGCGAUCCGACAGAGGUGCCCCGGGGUCGCAGGUAUCUAGCCAGCUUCCAGGACCAGGUGAUUGGAAACCUCAGUGAUUUGAACUAAGAGCCAACAAAGCCUUGGGUUUGUGGCACACUCUUCACAUUCUUUGCACAGCUCUUUUUGCUGUUAAAAUCUGCACUGGAUUUUUAAAAAUGAAGCAAUUG
rnacentral:lncRNA from 1 species